rnacentral:rRNA from 1 species
UAGUCCACGCUGUAAACGAUGUCGAUUUGGAGGUUGUGGGCUUGACCCGUGGCUUCCGGAGCUAACGCGUUAAAUCGACCGCCUGGGGAGUACGGCCGCAAGGUUAAAACUCAAAUGAAUUGACGGGGGCCCGCACAAGCGGUGGAGCAUGUGGUUUAAUUCGAUGCAACGCGAAGAACCUUACCUACCCUUGACAUCCAGAGAAUUCGCUAGAGAUAGCUUAGUGCCUUCGGGAACUCUGAGACAGGUGCUGCAUGGCUGUCGUCAGCUCGUGUUGUGAAAUGUUGGGUUAAGUCCCGCAACGAGCGCAACCCUUAUCCUUUGUUGCCAGCGAGUAAUGUCGGGAACUCAAAGGAGACUGCCGGUGAUAAACCGGAGGAAGGUGGGGAUGACGUCAAGUCAUCAUGGCCCUUACGAGUAGGGCUACACUCGUGCUACAAUGGCAUAUACAAAGAGAAGCGAACUCGCGAGAGCAAGCGGACCUCACAAAGUAUGUCGUAGUCCGGAUUG